GUGAUUGCAAGGUGAGGUGCUUUUUGCACCAAUAAGAACAGUAAGGACAUGCUAAGUCUGAGCAUGAUUUAAUCGAAACAGUCAUCUUCAGGAAUUUGUUACGGUAACUUCUCUGCUAUCAUAGGAUAAGUGAGGCAUAUGAUCUUUUGAAAAGCAGAUGUUAAGUGGCAUAUGUGUCUUCAGUCACCUCUGUGUGGGUUGUUCUGUAGUAUAGAGGGUGUUCUAAAAAUGAUCUUUAGGAAUGGAGUGAGGCUUGUUUUUGUUUUUGUUUUGUUUUACACUUCCACACAAUCCCUUUUCAAUUCCUUGCAAACUGCUGAGUAUGUACUAUUUUGCCAGCAAAGGCUGAGCCUGUAUGAACCCAGCCAUGUGCUUUGUCUGUGCAUGUCCCCACACAGGAAGCACACCAGAGAAAGCGAUACUUCAGGGUAGAUUGAUUUCAUUAGAACUUCAUUAUCACCAGCCUCAAAUGGUUCUGGCCAGCAGUCUUUUUCUAUCUCUACUACCUUAUAUCAUUCCUUUCCUUCAAGGCCAAAGUCCUCAGAAGAGGUGGCAAUAUCCUCCAUCAUUUCUUCACUUCAUACUCAUUCUUCAACACAUACUAAUCUAGUCUCUUACCCCAUAAUUCAUUAAAACACUUAUUCUUGGGUCAUGGGUGACUUCUGUAUAGCUAAAUCCAGUGGAUAUUUUUCAGGCCUCCUCUUCCUUACAUUUUAGUAUUUCACCCUAUUGGCCAUUCUUUUCUUCUUGAAAUACUCUCUCCUUUAGCUUUUAUGACACUGUACUCCUGGUUUUUCUCCCACUUCUUGUCUGCUCCUGCUUAGUUCCCUCUGUAAACUUGGCCUCUUUCACAAGGCCAGUAAACACUCGAGUUUUUCAAGAUUGCCUGUUGGACUUUUUCUUUUCUCUCUGUGUUGUCUCUCAUCCAUGCUUACAGCCCUAAUUACUAUAACCAUUGUCAUAUAACUGGGUUCUGUAGAUUUGACUUUCUCAAUAUCUCCUGACUUGGCCACUUUUUAUCCACUGCUGCCACAUUCUUCUGCAAGCCACCAUAGCCACUUAACUGGAUUCUGUGGGAGUUCUUUGACCAUUUAAAUUUUUUUCUCUGUCCACCCCCAGAUCUGAUCAUUUAAUCUCUUCUAAUCCUCCUUAAUGCAUUUUGAUGGCUUUUCAUAGCUAUUGGGGAAAAAGUUUACAAUCCUUUAAGACGUUCAUGAGAGUCUGCAUUGUCUUGGCCCUUUGCCACACAUCCAGAGCCAUGUCUUACCAUGUUCCCCUGGCUGCUGGCUCCCCACUCAUGCACUGGUCUCCUUGUAGUCCUGUGCCCUUCAACCACAGACCUAUGCAUGCCUUUUUUCAUCACCUGAGUGCUCUUCCACCAGGUUUUCUCCUGGUUUACUCCUGAGCUCCCUUUGGAGCUCUGAGCUCUCCAUAUGCACAGUGGCUGUUCUCAGUGCCUUACUUCCUGGAACAUGGUAAAUGCAUAUUAAAUAUUGAGUGAAUGAAUAAAUGAAUGAACUUGCUAGUUUUUUGACUGGGAAGAAUUAUUUCUAUGUAGCAUACCAAAGCAUCAGGUUGUCUUCUCCGAUUACCCUUUUAUGGUGUUGUUUUUAUGCUGAUAGAUACGUUUUGGUAACCUGCGCACAUUGCCCUUUAUACUAAGUUUCACAACUACUUUCACGUAAAUCUCUUGAGAUCUUGGGUAAAUCAGUUGAGUUCUUUGAACCUUAUGCUAUAACCAGCCCAUAAUGUCCCCCCUCCCAUACUCAUACACAUUUCCAGAUGCUCUGUACGUGAUUUUUGUUCUAACUUCUGUAAUUCUUGAUACUCAUUUUCUGCAGAAAGAACUGAGACACAGGUUGCAGGAUGUGUGUCCAAAGUCAGAGAGCAAAUUAGGACUAAAUCACAGGACACCUGACUCACAGCUCUGUGCUUUGUGUGUGUGUUCCACCUCAAUUUAGGCUUUUCUCUCAAAUAUGUAAAAACUGUUUUUUAAAAAUUUAAAGAAUUCCUAGCUACUCGGGAGGCUGGGCUGAGGCAGGAGGAUCGCUUGAACCCAGGAGGCGGGGGUUGCAGUGAGCCGAGAUUGCGCCACUGCACUCCAGCCUGGCGACAGAGUGAGACUCCAUGUCAAAAAAAAAGAAUUACGGCCA
rnacentral:lncRNA from 1 species